CCCGGUGUAACGGUGGAAUGUGUAGAUAUCGGGAAGAACACCAAUGGCGAAGGCAGGUCUCUGGGCCGUUACUGACGCUGAGGAGCGAAAGCGUGGGGAGCGAACAGGAUUAGAUACCCUGGUAGUCCACGCCGUAAACGGUGGAUGCUGGAUGUGGGGCCCGUUCCACGGGUUCCGUGUCGGAGCUAACGCGUUAAGCAUCCCGCCUGGGGAGUACGGCCGCAAGGCUAAAACUCAAAGAAAUUGACGGGGGCCCGCACAAGCGGCGGAGCAUGCGGAUUAAUUCGAUGCAACGCGAAGAACCUUACCUGGGCUUGACAUGUUCCCGACGAUCCCAGAGAUGGGGUUUCCCUUCGGGGCGGGUUCACAGGUGGUGCAUGGUCGUCGUCAGCUCGUGUCGUGAGAUGUUGGGUUAAGUCCCGCAACGAGCGCAACCCUCGCCCCGUGUUGCCAGCGGAUUAUGCCGGGAACUCACGGGGGACCGCCGGGGUUAACUCGGAGGAAGGUGGGGAUGACGUCAGAUCAUCAUGCCCCUUACGUCCAGGGCUUCACGCAUGCUACAAUGGCCGGUACAACGGGAUGCGACAGUGCGAGCUGGAGCGGAUCCCUGAAAACCGGUCUCAGUUCGGAUCGCAGUCUGCAACUCGACUGCGUGAAGGCGGAGUCGCUAGUAAUCGCGAAUCAGCAACGUCGCGGUGAAUGCGUUCCCGGGCCUUGUACACACCGCCCGUCAAGUCAUGAAAGUGGGCAGCACCCGAAGCCGGUGGCCUAACCCCUUGCGGGAGGGAGCCGUCUAAGGUGAGGCUCGUGAUUGGGACUAAGUCGUAACAAGGUAGCCGUACCGGAAGGUGCGGCUG
rnacentral:rRNA from 1 species